rnacentral:lncRNA from 1 species
CGUAUGCUCCUAGUUUCUAUUUGCCAAAGAGACUGAGAAGAGGUCCUCAAUGGAUUCUCUACAUUCUUCAGCCAGCUCAUCAUGGGUGUCUAGUCCCCCAAUCGAGUAUGGCUCGAUGGGUCAAGCUCCUUAAAGAGUGAUGCUAUAGCAAUGACGCAUCAAGUCUUGAUCUUCGUGAAUUUCUUCAACUCUAUUUACUGUUGGAAACUUCAUCUUUAGGUGGUAUGUGAAAAUGACAGUUUGGAGCGUGUUUAGGCCUGAUCGAUUGAGAAUGGCAUUACAGGCUGAGGGUGUUGGGA